rnacentral:sRNA from 1 species
ACACCUCUGCUGUGUUCGUGGUGGCCGGGUGUAUAUCCUUGAGCCUAUCGAUAUACCCAGGGAGCUGAGAAGUAGAUGCUGUUGUGCAAGCCCGCGCGAGCGGGAAGCCUGAUGCGUCGCGGCAGCGCCCACCUGAAC